AUACUAGACUAGAUCUUCACUUUUAUCUCUCUCUAUAAGCUCUGAACUCUGGAGUAACCAACCAGCAAUCCAUCCAUGGCGUUCUCGGCGAAGUUGGAUACCGCUUUUCUAUUAUCGGCUAACCUUUCAUCGUCUUCCAGAGAACCUACUCUUCCGAUCAGAUCCUUUUCUCUCUUCACUCAUGCACCUCCUUUUCCCAAUCUAUCAUCCAGGAACUUCACUCGCAAUGCCACUUCGCCAACCGUCAAAGCAUCUUCGUCUCCUUCGACUCCUUCAUCUUCAUCGUCUUCCACCACAGUAGCAGAGUCUCAGGGCAUCAAGGUCGUUUCAGUUCCAACGAAACCGAUUGACGGCCAAAAAACUGGAACUAGCGGCCUUAGAAAGAAGGUGAAAGUGUUUAUCCAAGAAAAUUAUCUCGGAAACUGGAUUCAGGCGCUAUUCAAUUCGUUACCACCUGAGGAUUACAAGAAUGGGCUGUUAGUAUUAGGAGGGGACGGUAGAUAUUUUAACAAAGAAGCUGCUCAAACAAUAAUCAAGAUUUCAGCUGGGAAUGGUGUUGGCAAAGUAUUGGUUGGGAAGGAUGGUAUAUUGUCGACACCAGCUGUUUCUGCUGUAAUAAGAAAGAGAAAGGCUAAUGGUGGAUUUAUAAUGAGUGCCAGCCAUAAUCCGGGUGGCCCAGAAUAUGAUUGGGGUAUCAAGUUCAAUUACAGCAGUGGACAACCAGCUCCUGAAUCGAUUACUGACAAGAUAUAUGGGAACACACUUUCUAUAUCUGAAAUUAGGAUGGCAGAUAUCCCAGAUGUUGAUCUCUCUCGCCUUGGAGUUACCAAGUUUGGGAACUUCACAGUUGAAGUCGUUGACCCAGUUUCUGACUAUCUAGAGCUAAUGGAGGAUGUAUUCGAUUUCUCACUUAUCAAAAAUCUUCUUUCAAGAUCAGAUUUUGGAUUUGCAUUUGAUGCCAUGCAUGCAGUUACUGGUGCUUAUGCAAAACCUAUCUUUGUGGACAAGCUAGGAGCUCGCCCGGAUUCAAUUACAAAUGGAGUGCCUCUUGAAGAUUUUGGGCAUGGUCAUCCAGAUCCGAAUCUUACAUAUGCUGAAGAAUUGGUCAACAUCAUGUAUGACAAAAAUGGACCUGAUUUUGGUGCUGCAAGUGAUGGUGACGGUGAUAGAAACAUGGUCCUUGGUCGAGAAUUUUUUGUAACCCCAUCAGAUUCCGUUGCAAUUAUUGCAGCUAAUGCUCAAGACGCCAUUCCAUACUUUCGAGCUGGCCCAAAGGGUUUAGCUCGUUCAAUGCCAACAAGUGGUGCUCUAGAUUGCGUUGCCCAGAAGCUAAAUCUUCCUUUCUUUGAGGUUCCAACGGGAUGGAAGUUCUUUGGGAAUCUAAUGGACUCUGGAAAACUAUCAAUAUGUGGGGAAGAGAGUUUUGGAACUGGUUCAGAUCACAUUCGUGAGAAAGAUGGCAUAUGGGCUGUUUUGGCUUGGCUUUCAAUACUCGCACACCGAAAUAAGGAUACGAAACCAGGCGAGAAACUUGUAUCUGUUUCUGAUGUGGUCAAGGAGCACUGGGCUACUUAUGGGAGAAAUUUCUUUUCUAGAUAUGACUAUGAAGAAUGCGAAUCUGAAGGAGCCAACAAAAUGGUAGAGUAUCUCAGGGAUUUGGCCUCAAAAAGCAAGUCUGGUGACAAGUAUGGAAGCUACGCCCUUCAAUUUGCUGAUGACUUUGAAUAUACUGACCCAGUGGAUGGAAGUGUGGCUUCAAAGCAGGGUGUCCGAUUUGUUUUCAGUGAUGGAUCAAGAAUCAUAUUUCGUUUGUCAGGAACUGGUUCAGCUGGUGCAACUGUUAGAAUCUAUAUUGAACAAUUUGAGCCAGAUGCUUCUAAGCAUGAUAUAGAUGCCCAAAUUGCAUUAAAACCAUUGAUAGAUUUGGCGCUGUCUGUGUCUAAGCUGAAAGAAUUUACUGGAAGGGAGAAGCCAACCGUCAUCACAUAGACCAGAUUAACAUAUGCUAUCUUAUCCUCUUGCCUGAGUCACUUCAGCUGAAUAAUGCAUUGUAGGUGAUGAUCAUCAUCAUGGAUGGAAGAAGAGAUCCACUGGAAGCAGUUUCACCCUACUUCAUCCCAUCUGACCCGAUACUGUUGUCUCUUCGUCUCAGUUUGAGCUUGAUUGAACGUAUACUCAACUUUCAUUAAACCAGAUCUUGUUGUUUUUCUAUCGAAUUUUCUACUGUGUUUUACAUCAAUCAUUUAUAGACAUUUCUAGUGGAUUUAAAACUCCAUCAAAAUGCAUAUUUUCAAGUGGAGCCAUUUGAUUGUCUUUU